GAUGAACGCUGGCGGCGUGCCUAAUACAUGCAAGUCGAGCGAACAGACGAGGAGCUUGCUCCUCUGACGUUAGCGGCGGACGGGUGAGUAACACGUGGAUAACCUACCUAUAAGACUGGGAUAACUUCGGGAAACCGGAGCUAAUACCGGAUAAUAUAUUGAACCGCAUGGUUCAAUAGUGAAAGACGGUUUUGCUGUCACUUAUAGAUGGAUCCGCGCCGCAUUAGCUAGUUGGUAAGGUAACGGCUUACCAAGGCAACGACGCGUAGCCGACCUGAGAGGGUGAUCGGCCACACUGGAACUGAGACACGGUCCAGACUCCUACGGGAGGCAGCAGUAGGGAAGCUUCCGCAAUGGGCGAAAGCCUGACGGAGCAACGCCGCGUGAGUGAUGAAGGUCUUCGGAUCGUAAAACUCUGUUAUUAGGGAAGAACAAAUGUGUAAGUAACUAUGCACGUCUUGACGGUACCUAAUCAGAAAGCCACGGCUAACUACGUG
rnacentral:rRNA from 1 species